rnacentral:rRNA from 1 species
UACGUAGGGGGCAAGCGUUGUCCGGAAUUAUUGGGCGUAAAGCGCGUGUAGGCGGCCAGAUAAGUCCGCUGUGAAAUCUCGAGGCUCAACUUCGAGCUGUCGGUGGAAACUGUCUGGCUAGAGUCCGGAAGAGGAGAAUGGAAUUCCUGGUGUAGCGGUGAAAUGCGCAGAUAUCAGGAAGAACACCAGUGGCGAAGGCGGCUCACUGGCUCGGUACUGACGCUGAGGUGCGAAAGCGUGGGGAGCAAACAGG